rnacentral:lncRNA from 1 species
GUUUGAUAUGUUUAAUUCGACUUUAAAUUGAAACAUAAUAUAAGUAAAUUAUUUCUUUAUUAACAUUGCCAUAUUUUUAAACUCAAAUUUGAAUUAAAUAAUUUGAUUUUAAUAAUUUCGAAACUCAUACGAUGGAUAUAUGGGUCGGCUCGGGUGGGACCUACGGAGCAAAUGACGUGUCGAAGAUGCUAGGGUAAACGUAAGCCGAAGGCCCGAGACGCAGGGGAUUGCUAAAAAAAAAAAAGAAGCAAAAUUAAAAAAAUAAAAAUAAAAAUUAGUACUCCUUGCUGUCGAGCGAGAAAGAGCGCAGAGCUUCUCCUUUCAGCACUAAUCCAUUCAAUCAGCGAGAGAGGAGAAGAAAAGCGAGCGAUGGGGGAGGGGAAGCGGCAGCAGAUGAUGCAAAACCUCUUCGGCUAUCAGUCGGAGGAAGAAGAAGAGAUCGAUUCCGAACACGAAUCCAACCCUCAACCCAAUUACGCUUCUGUAACUUUUUUUUACUUUCUCUUCUUUUCAUUGUAUUCUUUUUCCUUUUUUAAAGUUGCUAGGUUUUAUUUUUUAACAAGCUCGGUGCUAUAUUUUUUUUAUAAUUAUUUGCUUUUUAAAAUGUUAAUUAAAUAAAAUGAUCGAUUAAUUGUUUUUAUUAGUUUUUUAAAUGAUUGUUAAUGCUGCCUUUUUUUAUUAUUUUGUUUGGAUAAUGCAAAGAUUAGGCUCGACUAAGUUGAUCAUUGGUGUUUGGAUGGUUUUUUGUGUUUAGUUAGGGUCACCUAAAGCUGCAGAUUGGUCUCUUUUUUUUUUUUUUUCAUUUUUCUCUGAAGUUUAACCCAAAUUAGUUAACAGUUGAUUAUGGAAUUCAUAUUUUAAAUACCAAGGUGAUUAUGAAAUCAUUCUUAAUAUGGGGCAAGUAUGCUUAAUACAAUAGGCUAGCGGUGGAUUUUGUUCUAAGUAAAUUAUAGUUUAGAAAGUGAUAAGUUGGUAUUGUGCCCCAUGGGUGAUAAUGGUUUGGAUCCAAUCAGAUUCGAUUCAGUUUUUUAGGGUAAUGUGUAAAAUUA